rnacentral:tRNA from 1 species
AAGGAUGUAGCGCAGCUUCADAGCGCAUUUGUUUUGGNUACAAAAUGUCACGGGUUCAAAUCCUGUCAUCCUUACCA